CCCAACCAGCUGUAUGACCUCGGUCACAUUUUAUUAUGUUAAAAGGAACUUACUAGCUCCUGCCUCACAGGAUUGAAAAUGAGACGGUGUUUGCAGCCCUUAACUUGGCUCCUGGAAAUAGUGAAGUUCAAGAAAUGGUUCCUUUCAGAGGGGAGCAACAACGGAAACCACCAGAAUCAGGAAGCUGCUGUGAUCAGGAAGUCUCCAUUACAGCUUCUGGAUCUCUGGAGCCUCCUGAAAUCCACAUCCUCAAGAUGGAUGGUGUGGGCCCUCCUUCGACACCUCCAAGGCUAUGCAGCGGCCACACACUGGGACCUCUGUUCAUCCUGGUGAAGAACUGUCCAGUGACUCCUUGAUCAAGCUUGCCAGCAAAACAGCAGAAGCGGCAGAAACGAAACUGGAACCAACGAAGUGCACCAUGAGAACCUAAAUUAUAUUUAGAACUUUGCUUCAGGGAAAUCUGAGAAAAACAAUCUUGUGGUGUUCCACCUCUCCGAAAGAGGAAGGUACACUAAAAGGAGCUUGGAAUGGCUGCUGAGCACCAACCCACUCCAUAUUACACCUUUGGCUGUUAAACACUCAUAUAUUCUCUUUCCUAAAUUGAGCUUCCAUGAAAACACAGGUCCUCACUAAUAUUCAAACACAUUUUCCUGCUCCUCAAAGGGAGACCUACACUUCUCAGUAUCCAUGUCUGGGCAAUGUUUAUUUUUCCCUGUAACCUAGUCAUGACCCAUUUUUGAUGUCCUACAACCGGUGUUCUAGAGGAGAGUUAAUCCUGACCCAAAACUCCUUCAUAGAACAGUAAGGGGAAGGGGGAAGGAAUAAAAAGGAUAGUUAUUAAUAGAUGUAAAUAAUAGAAAGGAAAACUAGGAGCUACAGCACUACAGUCCUCACAUGUGGUCUUAGUCAGGAGUCGUCAUUGGUAUUUGUGACUUCUUCCUCUUCUUCCCAUUCACUGUAGUCUUUGCACCCAGGCAAUUGCUCAGAGCCCUGGACUUCAUUGCCUGGUGACAUGAAACCUUUCUUCCUGAGGACCCUGAGCUCUAGGACUGCUGGAGGCUUCCAUAACUUUGGUCCCUGGAUGUGGCAGUCCUAAGAAGCCAUCCAGAGAAUCAAGUGGCCUUAGCUACCUUAGUUCUCUUUGCUGUUUAGGAGCAACCAUGAAGAGUCCAGUGAUUAAAGAUGAUCUCGACUUCUGGCCCAGUGGUACCACGUGUCCCCUGAUAGACACAUGUCUCCCUUAUGUCCACCAGCCUCCAAAUCAACCUAAACCCAAAGUUUGAGGUGAUUUACAGUCAAGCCUAGGAAAAAGCCCUACAAUGUUUAUGUCAAGAAAGAAUCUGUUCAUAUUCAUUAAUUUUUGUUUAAGAGAAUAUAACAUCUUGGUUAAACAGGUCAGUUUUAUUAUUCUAAAAAAAAUUAUGAUUUAGGCUUAUGAUUUCUAAAUUGAAAUCUUUACAUAUUUAUACAAAGUAGUGAGGCACUUAAAAGAACUUAAAACUCAACAUAGUAUAAAAUUACAGUAUAGCAAGAAAUUAUACAUAUAAUUAGAGGAUUCAGCACAGUUAUAAAGUUAUAGUUGUAAAUUAUAUAUACAUAUAGGAUUCAACGUGGCUUAUUAGAUUUAUAAGAAUAACACAAACACUUGGGAAGGGUUUUGUUAGUUAAGAUAUAUACUUGAGCUAUAGUAAAAGGAACUCUGACUGGGGAUUUAGCUCAGUGGUUCCGCCACCUGCCUCACAAGCGCAAGGUCCCAAGUUCGAUCCCCAGCACCAAAAAAAAAAAAAAAUUGUGGAGAAUGUUUUCCGCCACCUGCCUCGUAAAAGGAAAUCUAAUAUUAAAUAUAUAAAUGUAGUUUAAAAUGUUUAAAGGAAUUUUAACUGAAUUUAUAAAGACCUCUUUUCUAGUGAUUAUCAGAAUUUACUAACUUUACAUAUGGAAUAAUAAGAUCUGUAAGUUGAAUCUAACAGGAGUUAGCAGACUUUUUCUGUUAAGAGCCACUUUCUGGACUCUAUGGUCUCUGUUACAAUUAUUCAACCAUGUUAUAAUAGCACAAAAACAACCGUAGACAAGAUGUGAAUGAACAGGUGUGGUUGUGUUCCAGCCAGACUUUAUUUACACAAAUGGGCAGCCAGCCAGUUCUGGCCUACAGCCUGUAGUUUGCCAAUUUCUGAUCUA
ensembl:lncRNA